UAUGCCACCACGCCUGGUUAAAUUUUGUAUUUUUAGUAGAGAUGGGGUUUCACCAUGUUGGCCAGGCUUUCUCUGUAGCUUAAGAAUAGGGUUUUGGGUUUUUGUUUGUUUGGUUUUUUUUUUUUUAACUGUUUUCCUUCCUUUAUAUGGUGCACAUUUUAAGUUGCUUUUUAUUGUUUGUUCAUUUUAUCUCCUUCUUCUAUGUUAGAGGUUUUCCUCAGAUGAAUGAUAAUCCUUGGUUUUUCAUUUGUUACAAGAAUAAAAGGCUGACUGGAAGCUCCACAAUCACGGAUACUUCUUGCCCACCCCCAUGGCUAUUUGCUUCCCCAGUGAAAUCUGUCUCAUGUGUCCAUGUGACUAUCUUCCAGUCCUCCAUCAGGCUAGACAGGAAAUUCGCCAAGCUGCUAAUCUUCUCUUGCCCAGUCCAGAUUCCCAGCCAUAUGAAGACACUCUAGCUGGACGAUCAGUUCUUGUUAAGAAUCUGACCCCUCAAACUCUACAACCUCGAUGGACCGGACCCUACUUAGUCAUCUAUAGUACUCCAACCACCAUCUGCCUGCAGGACCCUCCCCACUGGGUUCAUCAUUCCAGGAUAAAGCUGUGUCUGUCUGAUAUCAGGACAGCCAGCCUGAUAUCUCCUCUUCCUCCUGGAAGUUGCCAGUACUCUCCCCUACUUCCCUUAAACUCACUCACAUUUCUGAAGAACAAUAAUAACCCUUAUGAGCCUAAUACAUCCCUUCAUUCUGUUAGGUCUAUCCAUCCUUACCCUACUCUUUGCAACAGGGCUUUAUGCAGUCACCCCCACUACUUGGACUGUGCCCCAAAAACCUGUCAUCCCUACUAUAUUCUGUCUAGUCAUACUCCUAUUUACCAUUCUCAACUACUCAUAAAUGACCUGCUCUUGUUUACAUUGCCAGUUUACACUGUUUCUCCAAGACAUCACAGCUGAUAUCUCCCGGUGCCAUCCCCAAACCGCCACCCUUGACUCACUCUUGGAGUAGAUAGAUGAUCUUUGGUGGCAGGGCACCCUCCAAUACUUCCACCCUGAUGAAAUUCUAUUCUUUACUUUUAUACUCACUCUUAUUCUGGUUCCCGUUCUUAUGCCACCCUCUAACUCUCCCCAGUUAUCUCCACCACACUAUCAAUCUCACUCUCUCCUAGCCGUUUUUAAUCCUUCUUUAACGAACCGUUGCUGGCUUUGCAUUUUUCUUUCCUCCAAAAUCGCCGAGGCCCUGACUUACUCACUGCUUAAAAAAAAAAAAAAAAAAAAAA